CUUGCGCGGAUAGAUGAGCCGAUGUCGGAUUAGCUAGUUGGCGGGGUAAAGGCCCACCAAGGCGACGAUCCGUAGCUGGUCUGAGAGGAUGAUCAGCCACACUGGAACUGAGACACGGUCCAGACUCCUACGGGAGGCAGCAGUGGGGAAUAUUGGACAAUGGGCGCAAGCCUGAUCCAGCCAUACCGCGUGGGUGAAGAAGGCCUUCGGGUUGUAAAGCCCUUUUGUUGGGAAAGAAAAGCAGCCAGUUAAUACCCGGUUGUGCUGACGGUACCCAAAGAAUAAGCACCGGCUAACUUCGUGCCAGCAGCCGCGGUAAUACGAAGGGUGCAAGCGUUACUCGGAAUUACUGGGCGUAAAGCGUGCGUAGGUGGGUGUUUAAGUCUGUUGUGAAAGCCCUGGGCUCAAC
rnacentral:rRNA from 1 species